ACUCCUACGGGAGGCAGCAGUGGGAGUAUUGCAUCAAUGGGGAAAACCCGGUAGCAUGCAGCCAUGCCGCGUGUGUGAAGAAGGCCUUCGGGUUGUAAAGCACUUUCAGUAGGGAGGAAGGUAGUGUAGUUAACACCUGCACUAUUUGACGUUACCUACAGAAGAAGCACCGGCUAACUCCGUGCCAGCAGCCGCGGUAAUACGGAGGGUGCGAGCGUUAAUCGGAAUUACUGGGCGUAAAGCGCAUGCAGGCGGCCUGUUAAGUCAGAUGUGAAAGCCC
rnacentral:rRNA from 1 species